UACGUAGGGCGCAAGCGUUGUCCGGAAUUAUUGGGCGUAAAGAGCUCGUAGGCGGUUUGUCGCGUCUGCUGUGAAAACUCGAGGCUCAACCUCGGGCUUGCAGUGGGUACGGGCAGACUAGAGUGCGGGUAGGGGUGACUGGAAUUCCUGGUGUAGCGGUGGAAUGCGCAGAUAUCAGGAAGAACACCGGUGGCGGAAGGCGGCUCUCUGGGCCUUACCUGACGCUGGAGGAGCGAAAGCCGUGGGUAGCGAACAGG
rnacentral:rRNA from 1 species